GAGGUCCCUUCCAACCACUAAGAUUCUGUGAUUCUGUGACUUCUGUCCCUGCAGUGGUACCAUCUCUCCGGCUGGACCUCCCCAACUCUUAAAGAACAGUUUUCAUCACGCGGUGUGAACCUCCCAAGCCACGGCUGCUUUCUCUCUCCUCAUAGGAACAGGAGCUUUAAAGAGCAAGACAUUCCGAAGUAGGAAUGCCAAAAUCUGCUAUGAGGCAAAAGCUUAGAGGUGGCUGGAAAUGAGCUGUCGUUCUGCAGCGUGAUCCACAGCAGAGCUGGAACCAGGUGAUCAGGACUAGAUGGCCUCUACUGCUUCAAUUAUGUUGGCCGUUAAUGACAAUACUUCUCACAAGCAAGCUGGGCUGCUGUGCCUGAUACUCCUAUAGCUCUCACCACGUGUGGCUGCUGCCACUUCAGCUGUGGCCUCCAGACAACUGCACUGAAGAUCCUGUUUAAGAAAGCGAGCAAGCCUGGACUUCGUGUGUUUUCUUGCAAUAUUGUCCUGGACAGUUUCCAAUCUGUUAAUGAAAGAACACCGACAUCUAAGCCAUCCCCAGGGGAGGUUAAAGAUCCGUCUGAGUUCUGUAAGAGGUUCCUAAAUAGCUGUAACAAGCCCAUACUUCAAAAGAAAUACAUUUUGCUAUUUUUAAAAUAUGUGAGUUUUGGAAGGCUUUGAAUAUCAAGAUUAAUUCUCUGUCUAAAUGCAAUAGAAAGCAGCACUGACUGGUGAGCCUCACUCAAAUCUGGAAGGGUUUAAUAUUGUCUGGAUUUGGUGUUCUAAAAGCUUAAGGUAUGACAGUGUUUAGUUUACUUUUUUCCCCAGAGCACACUGUGCAUGUACUUACGGAUUCCUUGGUAUAUCUCACUGGAUUAACGUGAAAAAUAUAUUACAUUAUCUAUCAGCACUUGAAAUUUUGACUCGAGGAUUCUGGUUGGAUAGAUUACUGAGCAGUGUUUAAUUGAAAGAUUUAAUGAUUCCCUGAACAAGACAACGACUCACUCUUGAACAAGAGGGAACAGCUCCUACAGAGGAGAGAACAGCCCCAAGGUGGUAAGGAGCCAGUUAUUGCUGCCCAGCGUGGUGCUGUUUGCAGCAGGCAGCAAUUUAAGCGGUCUGUGGAAGCUGAGCAGAAAGGUCCAGGGCAGCUGAGCAGGUUUGGACACUGGAUGAUGCACCAGGUCACUAAAAUUACAAAGUGAAGCUGUGUAUUCUCAGUGUCUUGCAUUAGACACCUACCUGGGAUGUCCGAGCUAAGAGGCUGCUCUGCUCUCCACUAUGGUCACCCAGAGUCCUGUUCUGAACUGCCCUUUGGAGGUGCCUGUCCCUUGUCAUUGCCUAUAAUGGGUAGUCUAAGGAGCCCAGACUCCCUAUUUAGCCACCUGAGUGAUUAGCACAGCAAGAUGUAAUUUAAUAAGUCUCUGUGCUGAGGCCUUCAUCCUAAAGUGCUGUACAGUUAAUAUUACCAGACAGAAGGAGAAUGCAAAGUCCAGAACAAGAAUCCAGCUGUGGAGACACUGAGAACAUUUGGUUUCAGAGGCUGGGUCCAAAUCAGCUAGAAAAAUGGGCCAGGAUGGAGCUGCCACUGGUGGUUUUUUGGUUGUAGGGAGAGAAGGGAAGGAUUGACUCUUGGCUGCGAUUAUUUUGUGUGAAUGGAAUUAUGGGGGGGUCAAUCUCUUCUCCCAGGUCACAGGCGAUGGGACAAGAGGAAAUGGCCUGAAGUUGCAUGAGGGGAGGUUCAGA